ACGACUUAGUCCUAUCAGAGUCCCAGCCCGGCGCAGUCUGCGCGCCUGAUGUGUUGUUGAACUGCACAUCGAACGAUUCGGAAGGUGUGCAAUCUGCGCCGGAACUGAAUUCUAGGGAAUGGCAGAUCCAAGCCAAAAAGUCGGAUGAAGCCCGACAGCUGAAGCGCAUCAAAGGGUGCAAAGAACUCAGCAAAGUCGAUCAGAAGCGUAAAGCCAGCCUGGGCGAAGACAUUGCUAAGAAGCGAAUCCGACAGUUCUAUGAUGAGAAUUUGCAAGAUGAGCAUUCACUGCUAAUUAAACAAAAGGAAGACGAGGGAAUCUUUGAUGUGGGCUAUGAUGCCGACAACGAAUUUGAUAUUGACUAAAGUGGAAAUUGGUCUAAUUAACCCGAAUCCAAUUUGACUAUUUUACUAUUGACUUUGCAUCUAAUAGAAUAUACAAAUAGAAUAAUUUCCUA